AAAAUUAAAUACAUUUAAGGUGUCAGAAAAGCAUAUGCUUUGUUCUGAUGAAAAGGGAAACAGGUGCAAAUCCUGUACGAACUCGUCACUGUGAUAAGGGAGUUGCGGCAAAAAAGUCACUGAUAUUAAUCGGGAAGGCUGCCGUAAAUUAUGAUCUUUCAGCCAGGAGACCUGCCUUAAAUGAAGCUUGUAC
rnacentral:ncRNA from 2 species